CAAUAAGCGGAGGAAAAGAAACCAACAGGGAUUGCCCCAGUAACGGCGAGUGAAGCGGCAACAGCUCAAAUUUGAAAUCUGGUCCCCCCGCGGGGCCCGAGUUGUAAUUUGAAGAGGAUGCUUCUGGCAAGGUGCCGUCCGAGUUCCCUGGAACGGGACGCCGCAGAGGGUGAGAGCCCCGUACGGUCGGACGCCGAGCCUCUGUGAAGCUCCUUCGACGAGUCGAGUAGUUUGGGAAUGCUGCUCAAAAUGGGAGGUAAACCCCUUCUAAAGCUAAAUACCGGCCAGAGACCGAUAGCGCACAAGUAGAGUGAUCGAAAGAUGAAAAGCACUUUGAAAAGAGAGUUAAAAAGCACGUGAAAUUGUUGAAAGGGAAGCGCUUGCGACCAGACUCGCGCCCGUCGGAUCAGCCGUCGCUCGUCGGCGGCGCACUCCGGCGGGCUCGGGCCAGCAUCAGUUCGCCUCGGGGGGAGAAAGGCGGCGGGAAUGUGGCUCCACGGAGUGUUAUAGCCCACCGCGUAAUACCCCCGGGCGGACUGAGGACCGCGCGUAUGCAAGGAUGCUGGCGUAAUGG
rnacentral:rRNA from 1 species